rnacentral:rRNA from 1 species
UUGAACGCUGGCGGCAGGCCUAACACAUGCAAGUCGAACGGUAACAGGAAGCAGCUUGCUGUUUCGCUGACGAGUGGCGGACGGGUGAGUAAUGUCUGGGAAACUGCCUGAUGGAGGGGGAUAACUACUGGAAACGGUAGCUAAUACCGCAUAACGUCGCAAGACCAAAGAGGGGGACCUUCGGGCCUCUUGCCAUCGGAUGUGCCCAGAUGGGAUUAGCUAGUAGGUGGGGUAACGGCUCACCUAGGCGACGAUCCCUAGCUGGUCUGAGAGGAUGACCAGCCACACUGGAACUGAGACACGGUCCAGACUCCUACGGGAGGCAGCAGUGGGGAAUAUUGCACAAUGGGCGCAAGCCUGAUGCAGCCAUGCCGCGUGUAUGAAGAAGGCCUUCGGGUUGUAAAGUACUUUCAGCGGGGAGGAAGGGAGUAAAGUUAAUACCUUUGCUCAUUGACGUUACCCGCAGAAGAAGCACCGGCUAACUCCGUGCCAGCAGCCGCGGUAAUACGGAGGGUGCAAGCGUUAAUCGGAAUUACUGGGCGUAAAGCGCACGCAGGCGGUUUGUUAAGUCAGAUGUGAAAUCCCCGGGCUCAACCUGGGAACUGCAUCUGAUACUGGCAAGCUUGAGUCUCGUAGAGGGGGGUAGAAUUCCAGGUGUAGAGGUGAAAUGCGUAGAGAUCUGGAGGAAUACCGGUGGCGAAGGCGGCCCCCUGGACGAAGACUGACGCUCAGGUGCGAAAGCGUGGGGAGCAAACAGGAUUAGAUACCCUGGUAGUCCACGCCGUAAACGAUGUCGACUUGGAGGUUGUGCCCUUGAGGCGUGGCUUCCGGAGCUAACGCGUUAAGUCGACCGCCUGGGGAGUACGGCCGCAAGGUUAAAACUCAAAUGAAUUGACGGGGGCCCGCACAAGCGGUGGAGCAUGUGGUUUAAUUCGAUGCAACGCGAAGAACCUUACCUGGUCUUGACAUCCACGGAAGUUUUCAGAGAUGAGAAUGUGCCUUCGGGAACCGUGAGACAGGUGCUGCAUGGCUGUCGUCAGCUCGUGUUGUGAAAUGUUGGGUUAAGUCCCGCAACGAGCGCAACCCUUAUCCUUUGUUGCCAGCGGUCCGGCCGGGAACUCAAAGGAGACUGCCAGUGAUAAACUGGAGGAAGGUGAGGAUGACGUCAAGUCAUCAUGGCCCUUACGACCAGGGCUACACACGUGCUACAAUGGCGCAUACAAAGAGAAGCGACCUCGCGAGAGCAAGCGGACCUCAUAAAGUGCGUCGUAGUCCGGAUUGGAGUCUGCAACUCGACUCCAUGAAGUCGGAAUCGCUAGUAAUCGUGGAUCAGAAUGCCACGGUGAAUACGUUCCCGGGCCUUGUACACACCGCCCGUCACACCAUGGGAGUGGGUUGCAAAAGAAGUAGGUAGCUUAACCUUCGGGAGGGCGCUUACCACUUUGUGAUUCAUGACUGGGGUG